rnacentral:rRNA from 11 species
AGUACGAGAGGACCGGGAUGGACGUACCUCUGGUGGACCUGUUGUGGCGCCAGCCGCAUUGCAGGGUAGCUAAGUUCGGACGGGAUAACUGCUGAAAGCAUCUAAGCAGGAAGCCUCCCUCAAAACGAGUAUUCCCUAUCAGAGCCGUGGAAGACCACCACGUUGAUAGGCCAGAUGUGGAAGUGCGGUGACGCAUGAAGCUGACUGGUACUAAUUACUCGAUUGUCUUGAUC